rnacentral:rRNA from 1 species
UACGGAGGGGGCAAGCGUUAUUCGGAUUUACUGGGCGUAAAGCGCACGUAGGCGGCGAAGUCAGUCAAAGGUGAAAGCCCUCGGCUCAACCGAGGAACUGCCUUUGAAACUGCUUUGCUUGAGUCCGGGAGGGGGGAGCGGAAUUCCUAGUGUAGCGGUGAAAUGCGUAGAUACUAGGAGGAACACCGGUGGCGAAGGCGGCUCCCUGGACCGGUACUGACGCUGAGGUGCGAAAGCGUGGGUAGCAAACAGG